rnacentral:lncRNA from 1 species
AAUUGAAAAAAUGGAUUCGGCCGGUGUCACAAUAAACGGUACUCCAGAAUAUGUCCGUGCCUGUAUUGAAGCUAGCCUUAAGCGCCUAGAUGUGGACUAUAUUGAUCUCUACUACCAGCACAGGGUUGACACUAACACUCCAAUAGAGGAUACUGUAAGUGCUGCAGUUGAAAGCAUCUUAAAAUUAUUUCCUUGUUUCAUAAUCUUAUAGUGGGACAGUAAUCUUUAGCUGCUUGAACUUUCUAUGUCAAGAUGUCUGAACUGAAGAAGUUGGUGGAAGAGGGGAAAAUAAAGUACAUAGGUUUAUCUGGAGCUUCCCCUGAAACUAUAAAGAGAGCACAUGCAGUACAUCCCAUAACUGCUUUACAGAUAGAGUGGUCGCUAUGGACUCGUGAUCUUGAGGAAGAAAUAGUCCCCCUUUGCAGGUUUCUUCAUGCUUCUUAAACCAUUCAAACUUUUAAAAAGUAAUGUUUACUUCAUAUCCAAACUCUAAUGUUUCUAGUCUUUUCGUUUCCUAAGAGACUUGCUAAACUCAUGCUAUCAACCAUUACUUACUCCUCCAUCUGCUACAAGCCAAAGCACAAUAAAUGCCUGAAUAAAUGUUUUAAUCUAUGCAGGGAACUUGGAAUUGGCAUUGUUCCAUAUAGCCCUCUUGGUAGCGGUUUCUUUGCAGGCAGAGGAGUAUUGGAAACUAUGCCUGCAAAUAGUUUUCUGGUAUGGGAACUAACAUCAUUAAUGUCUUUAACUUAUCCUUAAUCUUUGUAUAGUAAACUGAUAGCCAACUUGUACUUUUAAGCCAACUUUCCCAAGGUUUCAAGAAGAAAACUUGGACAAAAAUAAGAUCAUAUAUUUGAAAGUGGAGAAGUUGGCUAAGAAGCAUGGAUGUAGCCCUGCACAAUUAGCACUUGCCUGGGUUCUUCAUCAAGGGGACGAUGUAGCACCGAUUCCCGGUGAGUCGCAUUCUGUAAUUCUCAACAUCUAUUUUCUCUUUUUGAUGGCCAACAGACAUUUCAACUAAAAGUCGCAGCAGAAGUAGCAUAAUUGGCCUGAAAAUCUUGUACCAAGUACAAAUGCAUAUAUACUUAAUUAUUUGUUUAGAUAAUAGGACUAGGGCCGAAGUUUUGACCAUUUCUUUCAUUUUUUUUUUCACAGGAACAACCAAGAUAAAGAAUCUCGAUAGUAACAGUGAUUCACUAAAAGUAAAGCUCACAGAAGAAGAUUUGGAAGAAAUUUCUAAUGCGGUCCCGAUAAAUGAGGUAGCUGGUGAAUUUUUGCCUGAUAAUUUAAGUCAAUUCCACUGGAAGUUCGGUAAUACACCACCAAAGGGGAGCAAGGUUUGAACUUGAAAUAACCAUGGAUGCAAAGUCUGCAGCAAAAAAUGAGGUUUUGGAUGAAUGGACUCUCUCCAACAACUCAAACGAUUGAAAAUUUGUAUCAAUGGUUUUGCUGUCUGUGAUUGUAGCAAGUAAUUUUCCAAGUUAUAUAGUUAGGAAAUCAAACAGGUGGUUUAUCACCUGAACACUGUUGUUUCAGCUACUUACAGCAGUAUUAUUGUAGCAGGUUGCUACCACCUGUUUGUCUUGGAGAAAUAAAAAUCAUAAUUUUUUUCUAGAAAAUAAUGUUAUUUGAGAUGUGUAUGUUGCCUUGAUCUCUUCUCUUGUUUUAUUUCAACUAAUAUAUUCACAUUUACAUUGGUAAAAUCUUUAGAAAAUAACCAUCUAAAGUAACAAAAUUAUACAUAGCAAUGAAACUAUGGAAAUUGUUAGAACAAGUUGCUGUCGAAGCUUUGGUGAUUUAGUGGUAGACUAGGACUCUGCCUUUAUCAAAAUGAUUGAAUGAAACUUUGAUUUUACAUCAGAUUCAAAUCCAACUAAAACUGAUAAAAUUUAGGAGGAAAAGGGUAUGGGUGAUGUGUGUCGAAACUAUUUUUGAAAUUGACUUUAUUUUGAAAGCAAACGAAAAUGGGAAUCGCCACUAAUCUUUUUUAUAAAGUGUGAUCGGAUCACCUCGUAAUUUGAUCGUUUUAAUAAAAUGUUUGAUUUACUAAAACAAUGAUUUUUGGUCUACAAAAUCCAGGAAAUGAGUUUGGAAGUCGGUUACGCAUGAGGAAGGAUUAGCACCCUCAUGACGCCCAAAAUUGGUACCUAGUUGAUUACUUAAUGUCUUAGUGUCGAGAAUUGAAAAUUUAAAAAAAUUUUAAAAAACACGAUCCCUCUUUGUAUUAAGAUAUUACUUAGUUAAAUUAAAUUAAAUGGAGAAGGCAUUAUUUCAAGUUAAUCGAGAAGAAAGACCAUGCCCCGUGAGUUAGGACACGAUACUUUGAAUUCUCGAAAAAAAUUAGAAUAAUCACAAUUUUUUUAUCGUUACUUGAAUCUUUUUUUUCUGUUAUUUUAAAUAGGAUAUUCGAUUACUUCAGUUCUAGGAAGAUGUUAUUCUCAUUAAGUUAGGAGCACAAUUUCUUCGAAUUCAAAAAUAAUGAACAUUGCCUUGGUUUUAAAUAUUUUAUAUGCAUUAGAUAAAACGGCAGUAACUUUUAAAAUGAAGUAUAUUUAAUUUAUUUAGGCAUAAUGUAAAAACGGAUAAAUGUAUUUUAACAGGAUGGCACGAUGAUUAGUAAAAUAAGGCAAAAUAAUAGAGGGUAAAGAAAUGAAAUGAUGACAUAAAUAAAUAAAUAAAUAGAUGAAUAAAGAAAAUAAAUAAAAAGAUAAAAUAAAAAUGUCAUACUCGUGAGUAAUAAUAAAGCAUAUAUAAUGAAAGUGCAACAUCAAUUUAUAACAAUAAUAUCAUGCCGUGAUUGCUUAUCAUUACAUGAAUAAUGAAAUCAUAAUAAUCAUGAUAAUAAGGGCAAAUAUAUAUAUAUAUAUAUAUAUAUAUAUAUAUAUAUAUAAAUGCUUAAUGAAAAGGAAAUAUAAGUAAUAUCAAAUUUAAAUAUUUAAAAAGUAAAAGAAUAAUAAAUAAAUAGAUAAAAAUAUAAAAAAUAUUAAAUUUAAGUAUUUUAAAAAAUAAAAGAAUAAUAAAUAAAUUGAUAAAACAAAUAUAAAUAAUAUCAAAUUUAAAUGUUUAAAAAAGUAGAAGAAUAACAAAUAAAUAAAUAGAUAAAACGAAUAUAAAUAAUAUCAAAUUUAAAUAUUUAAAAAGUAAAAGAAUAAUAAAUAAAUAGAAAUAAUAUCAAAUUUAAAUGUUUAAAAAGUAAAAGAAUAACAAAUAAAUAAAUAGAUAAAACAAAUUUAAAUAAUAUCAAAUUUAAAUAUUUAAAAAGUAGAGGAAUAACAAAUAAAUAAAUAAAUAGAUAAAACAACUCAUAAAAGGAUGAAAUUAAUUGAAUGAUGUACUGGAUUGAAAUUUAAACGAAAUUAAAAGUAUAAAUUAUAAUAAAUUAAAUAAUAAAACCAAAUAUAGGACUAAAAUUAAAUGCACGAAAAAGGGCAAGGGCCAACUGGGAAAUUGUUCUUAGGCCCACUAAACGCACCGUUUCAAAAGGGACCAAAACGAAAAAACAAAAAUUAAAUGGUCAAAUUUUAAAUAAGAAAAAAAAAAGAAAUAUGACUGGAUUGGAAACCACCUGAAAAGCGGAAGGACUAGGGUUGCAAUUAUACCCUAGUCAUAAAACACACGGAUCCUGAGGUUAUCGGGUCAGGCAAUCGAGUCGGCCCAAAAAACGACGCCGAUUUGGGGCGUUUUGGGCUUGGAUGAAACGGCGCCGUUUCAGCAUGCUUAUUUAAGUUAAAAUUCUUUUAAAAAAAGUCAUUUCCCCUUUAUUUAAAAAAAAUCCUUUUUCUCUCUUUUUUUUUUAAAGCAUUCUUGAGUCUGGUCACUGGUCCGGCGAGCACCAUGACGGCCACCUGUCACUCGCAGUAGGCUCCGCCGUCCCCGGCGGAUGGAAAACAUCAAAAGGCCCCUUUUUUGAGUGCUUCGACUUCCAGAGUCCAAAUAUGGGGGUAAUAUCCCCAAAAAUCCUUCAAAAAUCGCAAAAAUCCCAAAAAAAAAAACUUUCAAUUUUUGGGUUUCGUAAACUCCAAAACCCUAAAAAUCGCAAAAUUCUCCACUCACGAUGGCAGAGCACAAACGUCUAGUAAGUUUUUUUUUUAAAAACCUUUCUCUAUUUUUUUAUUUUUAUAAAAUAUAACAAUUAAACAAAUAAUGGAAUCACCUUCCGAAGUUUUUUUUUUCUGUAUUCUAUUUUUUUAUUGUCUCUCUAUUCGAUUUCUUUUUUUUUAACCUCAUUUACAAUAUGUUUAUUUAGGCUUUUUAUAGUCUAAUUACAAUGUUAUUUUUUUAUUUUGUCUAUUAUUCUUGCUACUGUUUCUUGCGUGUUCAUGUUUCUGCUUCUAUAUUUUUUCUUUUUUGCAGGUGUUUUUGGAGUCAACGAUGGGACAAAGGCAGUUGAUGAUGGAAGACCCCAGGCGACGUGCAUGCGAAAUGGUGGGGUCCAACACAAAAGAGGACUUAGGGUUUUAGGGUUACUGAGAAAAUGUUUAGGUUAUUGGGCCAUUAGGCCAUAGGUUUUUUUAUUUAUUUGGGCCAUUUGUAAUUGUAAAGUUGAGUCUGAUUGACUGUUGUAAUGGACUUUUGAUUUAUUUUUUGGUUUUAUUUAUUUUAUUCGAUUUCUGUUUGGGCUCGGGCUAAAUUGGGCCUCUACAGCUGCCCCUCUUUACUCGUUGUCGUGUAACGAGAAUGAAGUAAAGACUUUUAAGAAGGACCAAUUUUGUCUGGUCUUGCCGAAUCUCAACCUCUUUGGUGCUCCUCUUUUCAAAUAACUUUAUUCUAACCUACUGCAACUUCAGAGGUAUAGGAUUUGUCUUUUCAAUUUGCUCCACUGCAACUUCAGGGAGAUAAGACUCACUACUUCAAUCUUGCUCCACUACAGGGAGAUAAGACUCACUACUUCAAUCUUGCUCCACUACAACUUCAGGGAGAUAAGAUUUAUAGCUUCAACCUGCUCCACUGCAACUUCAGGGAGACAAAAUUCGUAGCUUUAAUCUGCUCCACUGCGACUUCAGGGAGAUAAGGUUCACUUUAAUCUGCUCCACUGCAACUUCAGAGAGAUAAGAUUCGUAACCUCAAUCUGCUCCGCUACAACUUCAAGGAUAUUAGAUUCGUGACUUUAAUCUACUCCACUGCAACUUCAAGGAGAUAAGACUCACUAUUUCAAUCUGCUCCACUGCAACUUCAGGGAGAUAAGAUUUGUAGCUUCAUCUUGCUCCACUGCAUCUUUAGGAAGAUAAGAUUUGCUAUCUUCAAUCUGCUCUACUGCAACUUCAGGGAGAUAAGAUUUGUGGCUUCACUGAUCUGUUACACCAUUCUUUGGGGAACAUGACCUGUAGAAUCUAUUUCACGGGCCUAUAUUUAUCCCAAAAGAUUAAGAUGUUCUGAUCAGAAUGAAUCAAAUGCUCCUAAUUAGAUGUGUGUGAAUGAUAUUUGCAUGAAUGCAGAAUGUCAUUUUUCAAGAAUGAUCCCCUUUUAAUGCUUAGGUUAACAUUACUCGUUGUUCGUCAAGAUUUCAUCACUGAUGUGUUACCAUCUAACACAAGUGUAUGCGUCCCUUGCUCUAAAUCCAUUAAAAUUAUUGAUCUCUUUUGUUUCAUUUCAUAUUUACAUGAGUAAAAUCUAUAUCAAAUAACAAUCUGAAAUAUCUUUCAAAAGAAAAAACAAAACAAUCUAUUGCGUUUAUACAGAAAAGUAUUCAAGAUGUUAAAACAUAUGGACAUCGAAGCACCAGUGGUCUAGUGGUAGAAUAGUACCCUGCCCGGGUUCGAUUCCCGGCUGGUGCAUAAUGUUGGAGCAAUGAAGAAAACUGCGCACCCUUGUGAGGAUAGGGUUCAUCUCUUUCUCUGAUCUAACUCGCUCCUUUCUUUUUUUUUCUCGAUUUUAGAUUCUAAACAUCAUUUUCCAGGUGAAGAAAAGGAAUUUAAGAAAAUUCUAAUUCUGAAUUUCAUUGAUUUUUUUUUUUGAAAAGCAAGUAUACUUUAAUUUAUCAUCUCACCUUUCAAUUUUACAAAAAUAAAAAAGUUAGUCAAUUUAUCUUUUGCAUAUAAAUUGAAGAAUAAUUGAUUUUCCCUAUUCAUAUAUGAAUUUCUGAAUUGUGGUUUUUUAAGCUUGGAAUUUAAUGGGUAGGUUUUGGUUACGAAAUUGGAUUAACUUAUUAGUUUUGGUAGAGUAAGAGGACCAAAUUUAAACAAAUUAAAUUCAAUUUAGUCAUUUACUUCCCUUUUUUCUUAUUUAUUUCGUAAUUAAUGCUUUAAGUUCUAUUUAAAUUUGUUCAUUACAGAGAAUCUUACCUUUUGAACAAUUUUCUAUAUUACUUGGGAAUAUUUACUAUUAUAAAUUUUAUUAUGUUUCGAUUUAAUCUUUAUAUUUAAUCUUGCCUUUUUUUAUUUAUUUAAUUUUCAGCAUUUUUAAUUCCUUAUUUAUAUUUUAUCCUUUAAUUUACAUAACUUUCAUUUUUAUCCUUAAGUUUCUUAAUCAUCUCAUUUUAGUUCAUUUUUUGGUUUUUUUUAAAUGUUGAUGUUAUUGUUAAAUGAUUAUUUUUGCUAUUUAACAUUUUAUUUUGUCAUCACUAAUAUUUCACAACCAUGACCAUAGCAUUAUUACACCUUUUUUUAUUAUUUUACCAUUUUUUGUCAUUACUAAUGUUCCACUUAUUAUUUUACUAUUAGUGCCAUUAUUAAAUAGUAUUAUUAAUCAGCUAAAAAUUAUUCUAACUACCACGUGUUAUUAUUUUCUUAUCAUUUUUUGACCACGUAAGCUAUUCUAUACUAUUUUUGUCAUUUCCAUAUUAUGCAACAUGCUUAAAUAUUCGUUUAUUUUUGUACCAACACUUGAAUAAAUUAAUUGCAUAUUGCAUUAAACGUUAUCUUCAUUUUUACCCGAUGCAUAAAAAAGGAAUUUUUUUAAACCGAGGCAAUGUUCUUUGUUUAGGGAUUCGAGAAAUAGUGCCAUAACUUACGGGGUAUGACUUUCUCCUUGAACCAAGAUAAACGAGCAUCCUUUUAAAAUUCAAAAUAUAUAAGACUUAGGUAAUAAUCAAAUAACGAGAAUCCUUAUUUUUGAGGAUUCAAGAUGUCGUGCUCUAACUUAUAGGACAUAAUCCUUUUCUCGAUUGGCUCGAAAUAAGAAGACUCUUUCCAUAAAAUUCAAUUUAGUUUGCAAUCAUGCAAGAAGGGAUCGUAUCUUAAAUUUUCUUUGAAUUUUCAAUUUUCGACAUCAAAACAUCAAGUAAUCAACUAGGUACCAAUUUUGGGCGUUAUGAGAGUGCUCAUCCUUCCUCAUACGUUAUCGACUCUCAAACCCAUUUUUCAGAUUUUGUAGACCGAAGAUUACCGUUUUAGUAAAUCUAACGUUUUAUUAAAAUGACCUAGUUUUGAGGUGAUCCAAUCACACCUAAAUAAAAAAGGAUUAGCGGUGACUCCAUUUUCGUUUUUAAAAUAAAAGUUGAUUUCUAAAAAAGGUUUCAACAAUUACUAUUUUAUCAAUAGUUUGCUAUUAAUAUUAUUCAUUAUGCAUAUCAUUUUACACUUAUUGAUCUUUAUAUUACGAAAUUUAUUACCAAUACUGUUGAGGUAGUUUUUGAGCAGUACUUAGAUCAGUACCAUCCGGUCGUGGCAUUGUUUGCUUAGAAAACUUGCCAUGUUUAAGUAGCAAAUUUUCGCAACAAAACAUUUUUGGGCUUUGAAUUUUGUUGAUACUUUGGAUGUUAGCUAACUCGUCUUUUAUAUCCAAAUUACACAUAGCAACAUAUCUUGGAGAUUGAUUUAGAUUUGGAUCGAAGCAAUCAACUUCUAAAGUUUGAUGGAUUAGAUCAAAUCGGGCAAAACUUGAAAGUAUAUCCUAAAAAUUCAAGGUUUUUCCUAAGGUGAUUGAAGAUAUUUGUUAUGCUAAUUAUCUUGUUUAUUUCGAGGUAAAUUUGAUUAUAAUUAAUAUAAUAUGUUAACAAGUAUCAAUAUCUUAUAAAGUAUAGGUGAGGUACUGAACUAAGAGCACUUAUUAUUGUUCCUUGAGGAAUGUUUCUUUUUAGUGUAUUGUGUGAAUAAUCAAGUGUAUUAUUUAAUAAAGAGUAUUAGACCACAACCCAAGUUUUGUCAAAAUUAAAUUUUAAAGGAAUUUUGGAAGCUUUUAACACUUAUAAAAAAUUUCUAAGCAUUUGACCAAAUUUGAAAAUUACUUUGAAAAUAAUUUCUCAUGGUUUAACAUGAAGUUUUACAAAAUUUGAUUAAGGAAAUAUUUUGUUAUAUCAAAUCAUUUGAAAAUCAAAGUUAACAUCAAUAAUAAUUAACUAAUUAAUUAAAAUUUUAUAAAAAUCUAAAAAAAUUAUUAAACCACUUCGACAAUCGAUUUUUGUUCAGCUUUUCAAUUUUUCCCGAUCAAUCGAUUUAACCCUUUUGCUUGAACUAUUAUAUCGAUCAAUUAUUAUAUCGAUCAAUUUUUAAACCAUCCAAUCUGAUCUUAUUCUAGUAAUAUUAACCACAUAUUAUCUCUAAAUAUUUAUAAUACAUAUCAAUGUUUUUAAUAAAACAGACAAAAAAGAUGACCUAUGGGGUGCCUAUUUGGAACAUAUUACGAAUUCUUGACAUAUUUAGAGUAGUCGCGAAGUUGACAAGUCAACUAAGAUGAAGAUUCUAAUCUUCAUAGCCAUCGGCUAAAUCUUUUAUACUUGCUGUUUCUUUUGAGCCGUACACAAACAAGAAAAGCCGCAGUUCAUUAACACAAGAAAGAACAGAAAAACGAACAAAAGAUGGGUGAGGAGCAGCAGAGAAUUCAGAUUCCUAGAAUCAAACUGGGAACUCAAGGACUUGAGGUUAGAUUCUGCUCUUCUUACACUACUCAUGACAAAGGUUCUCUCUAAAUAUGCCCUGAAUUUUUGUCAUUUUUAUAUCUGUUCGUUCAAGAUAUGCAGACUGUAGCUGGAUUUAUUUGUCUCAGUUCUUUUGUUUUGUAGGUUUCAAAGUUGGGGUUUGGCUGUAUGGGUCUCACUGGAGGUUACAGUUCUCCAGUCUCUGAAGAAGUUGGGAUAUCGAUUAUCAAGCAUGCAUUCCACAGAGGAAUCACUUUCUUUGAUACAUCUGAUAUCUAUGGACCCAAAACUAAUGAAAUUUUGGUUGGAAAGGUAGACAUGCUUGGACAAGCUGUUUGUAUUUUCAAGUCCAAUUACCCAAGCUUCUAUUAUUGUUCUUGUCUCAUGAACCUGUAAAACCAAAAUUCCUUUUUCAGGCAUUGAAGCAGCUACCAAGAGAGAAGGUACAGUUAGCCACAAAGUUCGGUUUCGAAAAACUGGAUUCAACUGGUAUCAAAAUAAACGGUACACCAGAAUAUGUCCGUGCCUCGAUCGAGGCUAGCCUAAAGCGCCUAGAUGUGGACUAUAUAGAUCUCUACUACCAGCACAGGGUUGACACCAACACUCCUAUAGAGGAUACUGUAAGUGCUGCAGCUGAAAGCACCAUAAGAUUAUUUGUUCAAUACAUAAUACCAAGUCCUAGAUUUUCCUUCUUUCAUCUUCUUAUUGUGGGGAAACUAUCUUUUAACUGGUUGAGCUUUUUCUGACUUUAGAUGUCUGAACUCAAGAAGUUAGUGGAAGAGGGGAAAAUUAAGUACAUAGGUUUAUCUGAAGCUAGCCCUGAAACUAUAAAGAGAGCACAUGCGGUUCAUCCUAUAAGUGCUUUCCAGACAGAGUGGUCGCUGUGGACUCGUGAUAUCGAGGAUGAAAUAGUCCCCCUUUGCAGGUUCGUUCGUGUAUCUUGAACCAUUGAAACUUAAAAAAAAUGUAAAGUUUACUUCAGAUUCGAACUCUAAUCUUGCUAGUCGUGUUGAUCUAUGCAGGGAACUUGGAAUUGGGAUUGUUCCUUAUAGCCCUCUUGGUCGCGGUUUCUUU